GAUUUGGGAAGCUUCCAGGUUGGUGAACAAGAAGAACACAUCCAUGUGUUGGGAGAAUGGCACAUCUCAGCUUCAUAGGAACAGAAACUUCUGUGCUUGAUACCCUGCAAGACCUUGCCAUUUAUAUGGAAGCAGAAGAGUCAGUGUUACUGAGAUAAGAUGUGAGAGAGAUUCAGUCGUUACUGGAUUUGAAGAUGGAAGGAGGAAAUAAGUCAAAAGAAUGGGAACAUUAUCUAGAAGCUGAUACGGCAAGAAAAUUGAUUCUUUUUUAUGGCCUGCAGAAAAUAACACUAUCUUGGUGACACCUUGAUUUUAGCCCAGUGAGACCUGUUUUGCCUUGACUUCCAUGAUUGUCGGAAAGAAGCCAGCUACAUUGUCAUGAAGACACUCAAGCUGACCUAUGAAGAGGUCCAUGUGUUAAGAAACUGCGGCCUGCCACCAACAGCCAUGUGAGUGAGCCAUCAUGGAAAUGGAUUUUACAGCUCAAUUCAAGCUUUCAGAUGGUGGCAACCUGGGCUGACAUCUUGAGCACAGCCUCUUGAAAAAUCUCUGAGCCAAAACCAACCAUUUAAGCAGCUCCUGAAUUUCAGACCCACAGAUAUGCUGACAUAAAUGUUUAUUGUAUUAACCCAUGAUUUUUCUUUUUAAUCACACAGUACUAGCCUAUUUUGGCAAAUCUUUUUCAAGAGACUCUUCAUUUUUUUCUUUUCUUUUUUUUAUUUUUUUGAGACAGAGUCUCGCUCUGUUGCCCAGGCUGGAGUGCCGUGGCUUAAUCUCAGCUCACUGCAACCUCCACCUCCCAGAUUCAAGCAAUUCUCCUGUCUCAGCCUCCUGAGUAGCUGGGAUUACAGGCGUGCACCACCAUACCCAGCUAAUUUUUGUAUUUUGUAUUUUUAGUAGAGACAGGGUUUUACCAUGUUGGUCAGGCUGGUCUCAAACUCCUGGCCUCAUGAUCCACCCACGUCAGCCUCCCAAAGUGCUGGGAUUACAGGUGUGAGCCACUGUGCCCUGCCUUUUUUUCUUUUAAUUGUCAUUUUAUAGCUCUCCACCGCAGCUUCCCCACACCCUUCCCUUCCAUGAUGAUGUUUACAGGCUUUGGGGGGACCACGGAACAAAGCUGGGGCCUGGCAGCCCCACUAGGUUGCCAGCUGGGGAGAACAAGGCACAAUUACAAAUUAUCACAACAAUUAGCACCUGUACUUGGGGGAUCUGCAAAUUGAGGAGGCCCCAGCUCCUCAUGGUACAGGGGUCUAUCUGGCAGUGAACUUACUCUGGAGACAAUGGUAUUCCUUCAGUCUGAGGGAGUUGAUGUUGAUGAACCCGGUGUCAUCAAUCGGC
rnacentral:lncRNA from 1 species